UUCCGGUUGAUCCCGCCGGACCUGACUGCUAUCGGAUUGAUACUAAGCCAUGCGAGUCUUUGUAGCAAUACAAGGCAGACGGCUCAGUAACACGUAGUCAAUCUAACCUAUGGAUGGGGAUAACCUCGGGAAACUGAGAAUAAUACCCAAUAGGUCAUUAUACCUGGAAUGGUUUAUGGCUCAAAUGAUUUAUCGCCGUAGGAUGGGACUGCGACCUAUCAGUUUGUUGGUGAGGUAAUGGCCCACCAAGACUAUUACAGGUACGGGCUCUGAGAGGAGAAGCCCGGAGAUGGGUACUGAGACACGGACCCAGGCCCUAUGGGGCGCAGCAGGCGAGAAAACUUUGCAAUGUGCGAAAGCACGACAAGGUUAAUCCGAGUGGUUUGUGCUAAACAGACCUUUUGUUAGUCCUAGAAACACUAACGAAUAAGGGGUGGGCAAGUUCUGGUGUCAGCCGCCGCGGUAAAACCAGCACCUCAAGUGGUCAGGAUGAUUAUUGGGCCUAAAGCAUCCGUAGCCGGCUCUGUAAGUUUUCGGUUAAAUCUGUAUGCUCAACAUACAGGCUGCCGGGAAUACUGCAGAGCUAGGGAGUGGGAGAGGUAGACGGUACUCGGUAGGAAGGGGUAAAAUCCUUUGAUCUAUUGAUGACCACCUGUGGCGAAGGCGGUCUACCAGAACACGUCCGACGGUGAGGGAUGAAAGCUGGGGGAGCAAACCGGAUUAGAUACCCGGGUAGUCCCAGCUGUAAACUAUGCAAACUCAGUGA
rnacentral:rRNA from 1 species